AUUGAACGCUGGCGGCAUGCCUAACACAUGCAAGUCGAGCGGAAGAAGGGGGCUUUGCCCCUGAUGCCGUGGCGGGCGGGGGGGUGAUACCCAGGAGAAUACCUGCCAUUGAAGGAUAACGUCCGGAGAGGGGCGCGAAUAAAGCACAGAUGAUUAAGGAGAAAGAGAGGGUGCCUUGGACAACACGGUUUUUGAGGAGCCUAGGUCGGAUUAGCUAGUUGGUUGGGUAAAGGCCUACCAAGGCGACGAUCCGUAGCUGGUCUGAGAGGAUGAUCAGCCACACUGGAACUGAGACACGGUCCAGACUCCUACGGGAGGCAGCAGUAGGGAAUCUUGGACAAUGGGCGAAAGCCUGACGCAGCAAUGCCGCGUGUGUGAAGAAGGUCUUCGGAUUGUAAAGCACUGUUAUUAGGGAAGAACAACUGUGUAAGUAACCAUGCACGUCUUGACGGUACCUAAAGAAAAAGCCCCGGCUAACUACGUG
rnacentral:rRNA from 1 species